UACGUAGGGUGCAAGCGUUGUCCGGAAUUAUUGGGCGUAAAGAGCGUGUAGGCGGCCAUACAGGUCAGCUGUGAAAACUCGAGGCUCAACCUCGAGACGCGGUUGAAACCGUUUGGCUAGAGUCCGGAAGAGGAGAGUGGAAUUCCCGGUGUAGCGGUGAAAUGCGCAGAUAUCGGGAAGAACACCCGUGGCGAAGGCGGCUCUCUGGGGACGGUACUGACGCUGAGACGCGAAAGCGUGGGGAGCGAACAGG
rnacentral:rRNA from 1 species